rnacentral:rRNA from 1 species
UGCAGUCGAGCGGGUAUAGCAAUAUAUCAGCGGCGAAAGGGAGAGUAACGCGUAGCUACGUACCCCGGAGUCCAGAAUAGCCAGCCGAAAGGCUGGGUAAUGCUGGAUGAUGUCUCCGGACUAAAGGUGUGAUUCCGCUUUGGGAGCGGGCUGCGUUGUACUAGCUUGUUGGUGGGGUAAUGGCCUACCAAGGCGAUGAUGCAUACCGGGCGUGAGAGCGUGGCCCGGCUCACUGGGACUGAGACACUGCCCAGACACCUACGGGUGGCUGCAGUCGAGAAUCUUCGGCAAUGAGCGCAAGCUUGACCGAGCGACGCCGCGUGCGGGAUGAAGGCCUUCGGGUUGUAAACCGCGAAAGUAGGGAGGAAAUUGCUAGGGGUUCUCCCCUAGUAUUGACCUAUCUUCAGUAAGGACGGGCUAAGUUCGUGCCAGCAGCCGCGGUAAUACGAACCGUCCAAACGUUAUUCGGAUUUAUUGGGCUUAAAGGGUAUGUAGGCGGCCCUUCAAGUCGGGUGUGAAAGCCCUCGGCUCAACCGAGGAACUGCGCCCGAUACUGUGGGGCUUGAGGGAGACAGAGGUAAGCGGAACUGAUGGUGGAGCGGUGAAAUGCGUUGAUAUCAUCA